AAUUGGAUAAGCUAAGUUUAAGCCGUUGGGCUCAUAACCCAAAAAUGAGUAUUCCCUCUCCAAUUA
rnacentral:tRNA from 1 species